GCUCGGUUAGCUCAGUUCGGUUAGAGCGUCGUACUAAUAUCUUCAUCUUUCAUCGGUGGAAAUAUCAAGUUAAUGCGAAGGUCAUGAGUUCAAUCCUCAUACUGAGCA